AGGAUCCAGAUCGGCUUAAGGCCGCCGGGACCCGUAGCAAGCCUACAUACAUCCUGUGUACCUGUUUAAUCCCAUACAUGAUCAACAAACAUACAUAAGAAUAAAAACUUUUCUUUUCCUUCAUACACCAAACUCAACCUGUGCAUGCACUGUAUUCAUCAUAUACAUAAACAUUAGUCCCUCUGUGGGAUUUCAUCAAAGCCUCAAUGGCAAUAUA
rnacentral:lncRNA from 1 species